GACUGAAAAUCUGUUUUGCAACAGAAUCCUGACCAAGACUGGCAGCAGACAGAGGUUACAGAACCAUCCAUUCAUGUUGCUCUCAUUUAUAAACUCAGAGGAAACUAGUGGGCAGAAGAAAAGUUGGUUCAUAAAGUUUCCAACUAGAUUAAAGGGCAACAACUUUGAUGCAGGAGUUUAUUUUAAUGGUCCAAGUUUCCAUCAAACCUAAACAGGGAUUUUAUAAAAAAAGAGCCAAAGAUCCAAAGAUGUGAAUUAUGGGGAAGCGGCCCAAUGAGUGAAAGUUAAAAAUGUGUCUGAUUGAUUGAAUUUGUCAGAAAAAACAGUUUUAUAGAAUUAAAUACAUGAAGACUGAUAAAAAGUGGAAUAUUUAUAAAAACCUCUAAAUAUUAAAAGCUGCAGCAAUGCUGUCCUGUAGCAGCUGAAUGUUUAGAUGAUUGAAAUCGUCCAAAGAAUGAAGGAAGUAAAGGCCAAAGACGACCAGAAGCAAUUUGAGCUACGAAGAAGAAACAGAGCAACAAUGUAAACAAUGAAUGCUGCAUUCACACAAUGAAUGCUGCAUUCACACAGCAUUCAUUAUGUGAAUGAAUACAAUGAACACAUCUGGACCAGUUUUUCAGUAACGAGUUGCUUUUUUAAAUCCAGUAAUCAGACUAAAGUUACUUCUACGUGUCUUGGGGAGCGACCGCCGUUUCUAUGCAACAGUAUCAGCAGCGACACAAACGUAAACAAUGGAGGAAGAUGAACAUUUUGUUGAUGGAAAAUCAGGAACUAUUGAGUUUCUGUCACCAAGUCAGAUUAUUAUAAACGGCUCUGGACUUGUUUUUUCUAAAGUCACUUGGAAAACUAAUGAGUCGCUGGUUGCAGUUUUUUGGGUUUGUUUCUGAACGUGAAGUUUCUCAUUUGGGUUUGGAAAUAAGCAGAAACGCAUAAUAAACCCCAGAAUCUAUCUGGCAUCCAGGUAGUUUUAGUCAGACUCUCCAUCAUUUCCCAGAUGAUCCGUCCUGCUGUGUCUUUGUUAAUGUCAAGUUAAUAUUUGCUGUGAAUGACGUCGAGCUUCACGUUGAGCUCCAGAAAACUGCAAACAUCGAGACUAAUAUGAACAGCAAUAAAGGUGAAAACAGUCAUGAAUGAACGAGUCUGUAAAGUUGUGCAACUAAACGCCAUUAUAAUCAUUAAUAUUAAGAUAAAUGUCACUAAUCUGUGCAGAAGGUGAUCUGAGCUGUGGAGCAGCAGGAGAAGCUCUGUGUAACCCACGUGACCGCCAUGGCCCACCCACCUGCCCUUUAAGUCGUCCCUUUAACUUCUGGGACCCUCAUGUGUAUUUCCGGGUUUUCCACUGUGCUGCUGCUCACUGUUGGUUGUGGCGUCGGUUGUUAAUAAAACAAUCUCAAACCUCCAACUCGACUCAUCACUGAACAAAUUCAUCCCUAAAACUCGAGGAUCUGCGGCUGGGCUUUGUUGACGCCUGGUUUACCUUCUGAUGAGAACAAGUUAACAUUGCAUCCACCUCCUCAGACAAUCUGUUACUCGACGGUCAGGUUUUUUUUCUCCCCCUUCAUCGACUUGCUUGAUGACGGAGGAUGGCGGGCUACCCACACACCAUCUGGUGGUAGGAAAAAGAAAGACACUCUCCACACAGGAAAACCAAACGACACUCUCCACACAGGAAAACCAAACGACACUUU